UCCGGGAAACUGGAGCUAAUACCGCAUGAUAACUGAGGUUCAAAGGUCGCAAGACCGCCUUGAGAGGGGCCUGCGUUCGAUUAGUUAGUUGGUGGGGUAAUGGCCUACCAAGACGAUGAUCGAUAGCUGGUUUGAGAGGAUGAUCAGCCACACUGGGACUGAGACACGGCCCAGACUCCUACGGGAGGCAGCAGUGGGGAAUAUUGGACAAUGGGGGCAACCCUGAUCCAGCGAUGCCGCGUGUGUGAAGAAGGUCUUCGGAUUGUAAAACACUUUCGUUGGGGACGAUGAUGACGGUACCCAAAGAAGAAGCCCCGGCUAACUUCGUGCCNGCAGCCGCGGUAAUACGAAGGGGGCGAGCGUUGCUCGGAAUAACUGGGCGUAAAGGGCGCGUANGCGGCCGAUAGCUGUCANAUGUGAAAUUUUUGGGCUCAACCCGAAAACUGCAUUUGAUACGUAUUGGCUAGAGUGCGAGAGAGGAUUGCGGAAUUCCCAGUGUAGAGGUGAAAUUCGUA
rnacentral:rRNA from 1 species